AGUUACCCGUACAAGGUAGAACUCCGAACUCAACUCUUUGUGUCUUGAGAAUCUUGUGCUAGAUACUACCGAAGAUAGUUAAGCAUACGUGUUGGAAGCUUUUUUUAUUUAAGUGGUUUGCAUAAAUAAAUUUUAUUUAUUUAUUUAUCUUGCUGGUGAUCAAUUUGCAAUGUCAUCAUCAUGUGCUUACUUAUUAUGUCUUUAUCUUUUCUUCUCAAGGUUUUGUUUGGUUAAGCAAGGACACUUCCAUGUUGGAUGGUCUUGAUACUGCCAGCGUUGAAAUUGAAGCGGCCAAGGCUAGAUUUGAGAUUGUAACGUGUGGCAAAAAGAUGAUCAAUGAGCAUGGGCUCCUCUCACUUGGAUGACUGAUGGAGCUGGAGUUCCUCCCAAUGCUCAUCAACUCCUCCGUGAAUUUGGUACGACUGUUGCAUAAUUCCCAUCUAGCUCUAAAAGGAUUAGAUGAAACUCUUCAGAGUUGCAAAGGUUCAACCGACUCUACUUUCUCUUCUUCUUUUUUUGGAACUCAAAACUACAAACUGUACUUUCUCGUUUCCCUUUUUCACUUAGAAAAGUUUGUUAUGACUAAGAUAUAUGUGUUAUGUAAUUGCAGUUAGAUAGGUUUUGGUGGUGAUGAUCGAAUUUGGAAAAUAGGUUUAGGUGGCUUUGUACUUGGAUUAUUAAAAUAGCUAGGAAUGGUAAUCUUGGUGGUAAUGAUCGAAUUUAGAAGACAUGUUUAGUUUAAAAUAUAUAUAAUAUAUAUAUGGAAACAGCUAGGGAGUUGUUUUUCUUUAAAAUAUAUAAUUUAAGAACAUUUUUUAUAUCAACAUUUAGAAUCCUAAACUUUUAUAUGUAACAAAUCCAAAAUCUGGAUUUAUUUUAUUAAUUGGGCUCUAUAACAUCUUCUAAAUUAGAGGCAUUCUUGAUUAGGGGCAUUCUAGAAUAUGGGUAUUUGAGAUUAGGGGCACAUAAGAUUAGGGUCAUUUUAGAUUAUGGGGCAUUCUAGAUUAGGGGCAUUCUAGAUUAGGGGUAUUCUAGAUUAGGGGCAUUUGAGAUUAGGGGCAUUUGAGAUUAGGGGUAUUCUAGAUUAGGGGCAUUUGAGAUUAGGGGCAUUAAGAUUAGGGGUAUUCUAGAUUAGGGGCAUUUGAGAUUAGGGCAUUCUAGAUUAGGGGGGCAUUUGAGAUUAGGGACAUUCUAGAUUAGGGGUAUUUGAGAUUAGGGACAUUCUAGAUUAGGGGUAUUUGAGAUUAGAGGCAUUUGAGAUUAGG